rnacentral:rRNA from 1 species
AUUGAACGCUGGCGGCAGGCCUAACACAUGCAAGUCGAGCGGAUGAAGGGAGCUUGCUCCUGGAUUCAGCGGCGGACGGGUGAGUAAUGCCUAGGAAACUGCCUGGUAGUGGGGGAUAACGUCCGGAAACGGGCGCUAAUACCGCAUACGGCCUGAGGGAGAAAGUGGGGGAUCUUCGGACCUCACGCUAUCAGAUGAGCCUAGGUCGGAUUAGCUAGUUGGUGGGGUAAAGGCCUACCAAGGCGACGAUCCGUAACUGGUCUGAGAGGAUGAUCAGUCACACUGGAACUGAGACACGGUCCAGACUCCUACGGGAGGCAGCAGUGGGGAAUAUUGGACACUGGGCGAAAGCCUGAUCCAGCCAUGCCGCGUGUGUGCAGAAGGUCUUCGGAUUGUAAAGCACUUUAAGUUGGGAGGAAGGGCAGUACGUUAAUACCUUGCUGUUUUGACGUUACCAACAGAAUAAGCACCGGCUAACUUCGUG